GUCCUACGGGGCGCAGCAGUGGGGAAUAUUGCACAAUGGGGGAAACCCUGAUGCAGCAACGCCGCGUGAGUGAUGACGGCCUUCGGGUUGUAAAGCUCUGUCAGCAGGGAAGAACGGUCACUGUGCUAAUCAGCAGUGAAUUGACGGUACCUGCAAAGGAAGCUCCGGCUAACUACGUGCCAGCAGCCGCGGUAAUACGUAGGGAGCGAGCGUUGUCCGGAAUUACUGGGUGUAAAGGGAGCGUAGGCGGGCGAGAAAGUUGAAUGUUAAAUCUACCGGCUUAACUGGUAGCUGCGUUCAAAACC
rnacentral:rRNA from 1 species